GAACGCACAUUGCGCCCGCCAGUACUCUGGCGGGCAUGCCUGUUCGAGCGUCAUUUCAACCCUCGAGCCCCCGGGCUCGGUGUUGGGGAUCGGCACAAGGCGGAGGCUCCCCCGGGAGCCCCCCGCCCGCCGUCCCCCAAAUGCAGUGGCGGUCACGUCGCGGCCCCCCGUGCGUAGUAGCAACACCUCGCACCGGAGCCCGUCGUGCCCACGCCGUAAAACCCCCGACUUUUACAAGGUUGACCUCGAAUCAGGUAGGACUACCCGCUGAACUUAAG
rnacentral:misc_RNA from 1 species